CAAAGGGAGUGUGGUAUUGUGGUGUUGUGAGCAUUAGCAAUAAUCUGGUGUUUAUUGUUUGUGUGCCACAGGGGUAUUUGAGUCCAGAACUGAGGGAAUGGGCUGUAGCAAGUGUGCCCCGUUUGGUUUACAUGGGUUCUUGUAAAUAUGGUGCCAGUGGGCACAGAGGAGCUGUUUGCAUCCAUGAGAUCCUUAAGAGGCUUCAAGAGGUGCAGUUUGUGAAAGAAGGAUAGAUGUGAAGCCCCAUCUGGUGGAAAAAGAGAAUCUAUUUCCAUCUCUGUGGUCGGAAAGUAUCAGCAUCACCGGAGAAGACUUCAGUGUGCGUCGUUCGGAGCAAUUGGGCUUUGAUAAUGUAUUAUUUGGGUCAAGAUGUGAAGUGUUGUCUGUUUGAUGGCUAGAAUGUAGUAGAGCAGCAGGGCUGAUGUCACCAUGUUUUGGUAGAUACCUGAGCAAUUAUAUCAUGAAAUGGCAUCAGUGUCAUUUCUGUUGUUCGAAUUGGAGAGGGUGGGUUCAUUUGUGUGGUCAGUUAAAGGAACAUCACCAUAUAAGUAGUUGCACAACACGUAAUUGUUUUCUGAAAGGAGUGGUUUG